rnacentral:rRNA from 1 species
UAACGCGUGGAUAACCUGCCUUACACUGGGGGAUAACACUUAGAAAUAGGUGCUAAUACCGCAUAAGCGCACAGAGCCGCAUGGCUCAGUGUGAAAAACUCCGGUGGUGUAAGAUGGAUCCGCGUCUGAUUAGCUGAUUGGCGGGGUAGAAGCCCACCAAGGCGACGAUCAGUAGCCGGCCUGAGAGGGUGAACGGCCACAUUGGGACUGAGACACGGCCCAAACUCCUACGGGAGGCAGCAG